rnacentral:lncRNA from 1 species
GCAACUUUUAAAGACAACAUAUAUCAUACAAACAAUAAAACAAAUACCGUGACAUGUUAUAAUCUACAAGGUGAAAUACAAUGGACAUUCUUCAAUGAAAGCGUUCUGAAGGAUCCUCGUGGUAUUGAUGUCGAUGGUGAUGGUAAUGUGUACGUGGUGGGGUAUAUAUCACAAAAUUUAAUAGUUAUCUCAACUGAUGGAAAACAGCAUAGAGAAUUACAGGCAGCAGAUGAUGAUCUUAGUAAGCCUAUUACACUCCAUUAUUAUGAACCAAACAAUCAGUUGCUAAUUGCGAACAACAACAACAACACGGCUUAUUUGUUCAAUGUUACAAAAUUUAAUACAGUUUAAACUAUUUGCUCUUGCGGUCAUAAUGUGAAAUAUGUAAAUGAACAUGAAUUCAGAAACCAACUUCGUCUGUUAUAUAUAUUUUUUUAGUGUGUUUGUAAAACAAAAUUAUGCAUUUAAUCAAAUGUAGUUGUUAAGCUCAUAGUAUAGACAUUUUCAACGUGUUCUUUUUUGUUACAGAAACAAGAGUUUAGAAAAUAGAUGUUGGUCGUUAACCUUUAACAUUGACUUUUAUAUGCAUGCUUAUACAUUGAGUAAGUCAAGAAAUGAAGAAACACGACAGAGCAUCAAAUCAUUUUAGAAUAUAUUUUCAUUUAUAUCAACUGAUAUAACAAUUGUACCUUAGAUAACGCAAUGCGUGGAACAUAUAAAAUAUAAAUAAUUCCGUCACUGUGUUCGACCAUAAUUCGUCCGUCCGACCUACUGUUUGGUACGGUUGGCGCUGUAUUUACCUCCAAUACUAGAAUGAUUUGCAUGAUUGAUUGAUUGAUUUAUUGGUUUUGGGAUUAAAGGCCACGUUUAGCACUAUUUGCUAUAUCGCAGUGGUCAGUUGUUGUUGGUUAAGAAAGUUUCCUGACAUCCGGCAUGAAAUAUAACAAUCAUAGUCACUUGCAAUCGGAAUCGAACGCACCUGUCACUGACAGUUUGCAAACUCACAACCUCAAAGUAGAUUAAAUACUUGGACCACUCAACCACAUAGGCCCCAGAUUUUAACAAAAAUGUUAUCUGUUAUGUAUAUACAUGGUCGAAAAUUAGAACCCAUCUUCUAUUUUUACUGUAGUUUCACCGCUCUGAAAUAAAUCAAUAUAUGUAAAAUUGUGUUGUAAGCACUCUCUUGUCUACAUAGCAAAUCUUUAUAUAAGCGAUGGUCUUGAUGAGUUCGUAAUGACAUCCUACAUUAUUUAAAUGACUAAUGUCACAUUGUACCUUGCAAACUGUCUUGUUAGUGCCCGUAAGCAUUUUUGUCAUAUUCGUAUAAUCAAUCAGUUUUAACGGAAUAAUUGUCCUUCAAAAUAUUAAUUCUAUGAAAAUUUAAUUCAUUACUUGUGUUUCCAUUUCGUGUAUCAAUACAUAUUAAUAAAAUUGAAAUUGUAGUAUUUUAUAGAAAAGGUGGCAGAGUUCAUGUUGAUGAGAAAUGGUAUAAUCAAAGUAAAAACAAUGAAAUUGUUGAUGAUUUUACCUACCUUGAUGAACUUUUAAAUUAUAAUGGUAAAUAUAAUAUGUUACAACAGAAAUGUUUGACCAAGGUAGAAAAGCAAUAAUUGCUUUAAGAAGAAAUGUAAAAAAAUGGACUUAAACUAUGACACUUUGUUAUCACAUAUAUCAAUUCUUUAGUGAGUUAUGCAAGUAGAAUAUGUAAGAAUAAACUUGAUUUUAAAUUGUCUACUGACAAUGUUAUGAUAUAUCAAGAACGAGGUAGAUUUUAUCUUUUCUUCACAAGCAAAUGCAAGAUUUUCAAUUUUUGGUUUAAAUUGCUGAAUGCUUCAAGCUGUAUAUUGAAAAACUGUUAUAACUGCUUAUAUUGCGAAUUAGAGAGAUGUCCAAAUAAUAGUUGUAACUGGUUAUAUUUUAUAGAUAAUGAGCUGUUUAUUAUUGGUUUAGGUGUUGUAUGGUAUAUCCAAAACCUUAUUUUCAGACUAGCCUGAUGAAUAUUUUUAUUGUCAUAAAGCAACGUUUGUAUGAAUGUCUAAAACAAGAAUUUGAUGCUUAGUUGCAUCAAGGAUUUGUAUAGUAAGAUUAGUAUACAAAUCCUUGGUUGCAUACUUCUCGAAUAUGUUCUAAUUAUAAAUACAUGUUAAAUAUUUUAUUUAUCAAACCAAUUCCAAAUGUUUACAAAACAUGUAUAACAAAAAUAAGAUUAAGUAGCAACAACUUAGCUAGAGAAAAUGGAAGAUUUUAUGUAAUAUGUAUUUUUCAAAAAUAAAGAUAUUGAGGAUGACUUUGAUUUCCUCCCUCAAAUGUCCAUUUUUUCAAGAUUUUCGAACAUUUUAUAUUAAUCGAUAUUAUUGGAAAAAACAUCGAUAAAUUUAUUAGACUAAUAAGUACAAACAAUGUAGAAGAGCUGUGUAAUUUAGGUUAAUUUAUAUUUAGAUCUUUUAAGCUUAGAAUCGAUAUGUUAUUAUAGUAUGUAUUUAUAAUUACAACACCUUCUGCUAUUCUGUCACAUAGUUUGUGUUUAUGUAUGUAUUUUAUGUAUGACUGAUGUAAUUCAAAUGUGUACCUAUAGUUUAUAUAAUCUUUGGUAAUAAAGUAUAAACUGUAAUAAAUAGAUAUUAAAGAUAUUUAUUGCUUUGUAAAAACAUAAAGCUUUAAUAAUUAUCAGAGGCGGAUUUAGGGAGGGCAGGGGGCCCGCCCCCCCCCCUUUUUGGGAAAAAAAAUUGGUUGCUUAUAUAGGGAAUCACUGAAGCGUGACUGGAGCGGGCCCUCUCUUACGAAAAUUUCUGGAUCCGCCACUGAUUAUGACAAACUUUCACAUUAGAAAACGUCCUUUAUUCUAGGAUUUGUGUCUUCAGAAAAGUAAACAUAUUUCACAUUAUUUUUGCAAAAUUCAUGUAUAGAUGAAAUAUAGAGAGAGCUUGCCUAUGACCAAAAUAUUGUCUUCAGUUUUGAAACUUUUUUAUGAUAAGUAAAUAAUGUCUGUAGCACAAUUUGAAAACAUAUUUUUCUCUUGCGUAUUUUUCUGAUAGAUAAAUGAACUAAAAUUUAAAAAAUAACAUACAAGACUAACAAAUACUAGAAGCCACUGACUUUGGACGCAAUGGUGGCCAUGAGCUGUUUUCUGCCCUUUGGUCGAGUCGAUCCACAGGCCUGUAUGCUCAUAAAAAUCAAAAAAUCAAAACAAUUAUGAACGUAAAUCAAGACAUAGAUUUCGAAAUGUCAUCCCCUUUUUCUCGUAUUUGACGUAUCAAAUUAUACUCAAAUUAGACUUAUCGCUGGGUUUGUACUAACAUUAGCACCACGACGGAUGCCAUAUGUGGAACAGGAUCUGCUAAUCCUUCUGGAGAACCUAAUAUCACCCCCAGUUUUUGAUGGGGUUCGUGUGGCUGAGUCUUUGGUUUUCUGUGUUGUUCUAUGUGUUAUUGUGUGUCCUUGAUAGUCAUUGGACCCAAAUCAUAUUUCCAUUUUCGCAUUCCCUUUCCAUCACUCAUGGUUCUAAAGAAAAUAACCUUAAAUCUGAGAGUAAAAAUUGUUAUUUAAGAAAAAAGGAGUUGGAAGAAGCUAUAUGUGUAUGUCUGGUAAGCAUUAUUUGAUAGAGUAUGAACAUUUGUCAUACAAAAUACUUUAAAAGGUUGGAAUACAUCAGUUCCUCCAAAUGGACCAAGGACUUCAUAUAUAAAAAUAGGUCUAUAAGACUUAUGCUGUACGUUAAAGAUUGCAUUGAAUAUCUUUUAUGAUAAGAUAUAUAUGAUGGUCACUUGUCCUUAAAAAAAACCAAAUGUCGAACCCUGCAUAAUGCAAAUUUUGAGUUUUUGCUCAUCGGGAACACAGUUUGACAUAGAACCCUAUUAGAAAAAUGUUCAUAAAACAUCUGGUGGAUGCUCAACCAGAAUACAUGUUUCUGCAGAGAAACCACUGUCAAACAUACUAUUAGUAUAACAAUAAUUUGACAAUUACUAUCCACACUGAUCUGUGUCCACACUUGUUACAUUAGUUUUUGUCAUAAAAUCUUUCACUGUGUAAGAAAGAUUAUAGAGUUAUUCCUCUUUAUAUUAGAUAUUAUGUUUAUGAUAGUGAUGCUAUCAAUCAAUAAGUCGUCUGAAAUGCUGAAUUUAAGUUUUUAUAUUAUAUAUCUGUACUAAUUUUGCUAUGAUUUUAUUCACCUGUGUUUGGGUACUGUACUUAUAAAAAAUGAAUUUGAAGUUGAGUCAAACUUUUAGGUCAUAUAAAAAGCAUUGAACGGUACGAUUUGAACACGUAUAAAUUAAAAAGGCGGGACAAUCAUCUUAGUCGCUAUAAGGUUUUGGCCUAACCAGACACGUGAUAAACACUGACCCAAAUUUUGGACCUAUAUUGAAGGCCUUCCGAAAAUAUACCCUUCUAGAUCUUUUCCAAUAGCAAUCAAUAACAGUACUUUUCACUUGAGACUAGGGUACAUAUUUUUUUUUAUUGCUUAUCUUAUUGAAGGGUUACGUUAGAGAACAUUUGUUUUUAUCCCCUUCUAUCCCUUUUCUUUGUAGCGUUGUGUCUUUUGAAAUUCAGUGUCAAUUCAAGAAAGGCGAAUGAUAUCAAAUGGAAAUGCAAGCUCAUAAGUACAAAAAUAAACUGACAUAGCCAUGGCAAAAAAAAAGACAUCAGUAUAAAAAAAAAAACACAACAUCGAAUAAUAAAGACUGUGCAAUACGAACCUCAUGAAAAAAAACUGGGGUUGGUAUCAGGCGCAAAAGGGUAAGCAGAUCCUGCACCGUGAUUAGUUACCAAUAUUAAAUUAAUAUCAAUCUUUUUAUUAUUAUCUCUUUUGAAGCCUUGCAUGUACUGCACAGCUUACAUUGCGAUUUAAGAUAAACGCGAUUCUUUUGACAAUCAGACUGUUUCCCUCUUAUCGUUCCAGUGUAAAACUAAAUUUUAAAUUUUAAUUGUAAUUCAACCCUUUUUGUCACUUCUAAUCAAUAUCAAUAACAUGCUGUUUAGGAGCCAGCUGAAGCACGCCUACAGUGCGGGAAUUUCUCGCUGCUUUGAAGACCCAUUGGUGGCUUUCGGAUGUUAUCUGGUCUUUGGUCGGGUUGUUGUCUCUUUAACACAUUCCCCAUUUCCAUUUUCAAUUUUAUGUUUAUCUAGUUUUGGUAUAUCUGUUAAUCAUCAAAAUGGUAAUGUAUAACAAACAUAAAAAUGCAGACUUUUAAAUUGUAGCAGGUAAAAGCUUCAAAUUUUAAAUUGGGUAUUUUUCUUGACGUUCCAAAAUCUCUCUAUAUAUCUUUUUAAAACCGUAGAAAUAAAAUUAUUUUAUUUUGUCGUUCUACGAAAUAGGUGUAAUCCAUAGCUCUGGGUGUAAUCUAUCUUUAAUAAUUAUUUCAUUAUUAUUUAUGCAGAAAAAUCAAGAAAGAUUCAAAGCAAAGAAUACUAAAAAGCGUCAAAAAUUACGAAAUAAGCUCUUGAAAAUCCUGUUUGAGAACCAUUGUAGAAACAUAUAACAUGUUUUAAUGUUCGGUCUUUUAUUUUGAAAGAAUACAGCAAUGAUGAGAAACUUGCAUAAAUUAAAACAUGGACAUAUGUGUCCCUCCGGCAGCAAGAGGGUUAAAAGUAUUAUGUUGGCUUCUAUUUCGCUGCAUUGAAGACCUGUUGGUGAUCAUCUGCUGUUGUCUAUUCUAUGGUCGGGUUGUUUUCUCUUUGACACAUUUUCCAUUUCCAUUCUCAAUUUGAUUCUAUAAAUAAAUAAAUAAUAAAGUUGUAUUUGAUGAACUGUAUUAUAUUUCGUCUUCCUACUGGGAAUUAUUGUCAUCAAAUUUUACGCGCUUUUUUUCUUAUUGGUCCCUAGCUAUAAAUUGGUAGCCAUCUUGAUAUUCUUAUUUUCUGCUAGCUUGGGAGCUCAGCUUGGUACGUCUUAUUUUUUGCUUGCUUGAUGCGUCUUAUUGUUCACUGGAUAGCUUCAAUUUGACAAUUUAUAGAAAAAUGCAAAAAUAGAUUUAAAAAAAAUCCGGAAAAAACAGUCCUCAUAAUUCGGAAAAAUUGAUUUUGUUGUUUUUUUACCGGUAAGUCUGUAUAUUAUCUAUUGUUUCUUUUUGUAGGUAACAAGUGUAUCUAACUGGAAGUUAGCUACCUUCGUGAAAUAUUCAGUACACCGUCGUAAUAUACAAAUAUUAACAAAAGUACUGUCAAACUUAUCAUAAACACUCGGGAACCAGUCUUAUGUAACAGGCAGACGAAAAGCGCGCUAAUAUCCGCAUGCUGUACAUAACGUAAUUUCGCGUAUUUUUAACAUAAUAAACAGCGGUGUGUAGAUUUUUGCCAGCCUAAAUAAAUAUGUCUCACGAUUAUUCACAAAACCGUGUGCAACAAGACUGUGAAUACGGCGGUAAGUGCAUUUGGUCAAUUUGAGAACUUUCUUGUUUGAAGGUUUUACAAAUGUAAGUACACAUUUCAGCAUUUUUUCACUUGGUUCUGUGGGUUAACAUAUAUAUAAAUCAAAGAAUAAGUUUAACUUACCCUAACACAAACACUAACUCUAAACCGAAAAAAGAGUGGAAGAACCAACUAGAAUUGAGUAUCAGUAAGUUACUUUAUGUAAAGAAGGCAGGGAGUAAUCCACUAUCUUUAAUAUCAAUGCAAAGCACCGCGUCUAAAAAUUUACCGAAGAGAGGCGAAAGAUACCAAAACGGCUUUCAAACUCAUAAGUCAGAAAUGAUAAAUUGGAAAUGACCAAAAUACAAACAACAAUAUUCAAAACACGACAUAGAAAACUAAAUCCACGAAUCCACACGGAUGUGAUUUCUGUUGAACCGGAAAGGUAAGUAUAUCUUGCUCCAUAUAUAUGGCAUCAUUUACUAGAAAUUACAGAAGAACGCGGUUUUAUUACGACGAUUCAAGAGUCUUUUUUAUUUGUAUUGUGGUUAUCACUUUUUUAAAAAGAUGAUAACUUGUUUGGUCGACUGAUAAAAUAGUACGCUUUGAUUUUUAAAGGGAACAUCAUUUAUAUAGUUUAGUCUUUUGAAAUAGCAUACUCGAAAUACUCUAAAAAUAAACCUAACAAGAAAAUAAGAACUGAGGCCCCCAGUUUUUCUUUUGAUUAUCUGAAAGCAAACUCCAAGAUCUAUAUCUAGGAAUGGUUGAAAAUCAUAUCGGCAAUUUUCUUUCUAAUGAUAUAAAAUUGCAGUACAUUUCCCAUAUAUAAUCCUAAAUAUAUAAUAUAAAAAUAAGACGAUGUGGUACCAUUGCCAAAAAGACAUGUGUCCCCCGGAGAAAAAAUGGCAUAGACUUCUACGACUAAUAAUUUUAAAAGUGCACACCAAAACGUCGUGAUCGGUUAAAAAUGUCAUAAACAUUGGAAAAUGACUUGGCGUUAUUUUCAUUUUGGGGUACGAACAAUGAAAUUAACCGUGGUUCUUCAGAUUAAUACGUUUAUUUUUCUAUAAUAUUGAUUUAGAGUUAUUCAUUUCAGACUUCUCUUGCAUUGGAAAAAUCUUAGUGAGGAAAAUGUUCAAGACAUUAACAAGGAAAUAGAACUUAUGAACCAGGGAGAAAACAGGCUCGUCGAGUUGACAAGGAAAGACAGCAGUUUGUCCUCGCUAUCGGGCUUAAAUAAAUCACCUUCAAAAUUGUAAAAGUGACGUUGAAUCCCUUGCAAAGAAAUUCCAAAAUUGUAUACAGAGGGACUGUAACGUGUUCAUCCCAGUAAGCAGACAAGAAUGUCUUAACAAACUGUACUGCUGCCUUCGAAAACGCUUCAGCAAAACACGAAAAGAUGAUUUUCCUUUUAAGCAUAUGUUAGGAGUCCCAGUAUUGAGCCGAAUAAACGAAGCUCAAAAAAUUCUAAGACCUCGUUCAUCACUGUCAUUACUUACACGAAGUCGCAGACUUUCAACAAAUAUUAUCAGGAAGACUUAUAAAGUUUCAAAAUCCGGAUUGAUAUGUAAAUCUGAUGGUGAUUUAACUAAAACUGGACAUUCGGAAAAGUCACCAGCUUCCAAUAGUUUUGAAGUUAAUUGAUUAUUUUGUAAACAGAAAAUUAACCCCGUACGAAAGUUACGCGCAAUCCGUGGAGGACUCCGACCCUUGUUUGCAAAAAGAAAUAUCAAUAACGAAAAACAUUUGUCGCUCUUUGUCGGCUCCAGACGAAGCUAAUUGUAAACAGAAGGUACCAGAAGAGACCCUCAACGACGAGCAAUGUAUAGUGAAAAGGCAAACAGAGACAGAGUGUCCAUUUGAUCCUGUUUCUAUUGUAGAUAACAAACUAUUUACAACAUUCGUCGGAAAAUCUUAGCCAAAAUGUCCUGCUCAAUCAGAACCCAUUGCCAGGGACAAUAGGUUUACGCAGAAGGAAUCGUCCAAAUUAGAAACUUCUUGCAAUACAACUUCUGUUGUAGUUGAUAUCGAUUCUUUACCAAACAAACAAAACAAACCAAAAAUCAAAAUACCUCAAGCUGAAUCAAACAUAUUGGAAAAUCCAUGUUCGCUGACCUCAUAUUCAGAUAAGACUAGCGACCUUAUUAAACAACCACCCACGAACCUCAAAGAAAUUCCUUGUCGUCCGAAGUCUAUUGAAAUUGGCACUAUUUUUUGCAAUUCAGAGACGAAUCGAGCCAGAAAGUCUGAGUCUCGAGACGCAUGAAAUUGACAAUUCAACACAAUUAAAAAAAUCCUGACCACAAGAUGUCUGACAAUCAUUGCCUUGUUGAAAACUCAACCAAUCAUGAGAUUUCUUGUAACGAGACUAUAGCUAACACUGGAAACUCGUCUAAUAACCGAUUGGGGAAAACUUAAAGAUCAGAAAUCUGCUGCUGUUGUAGUUUCUGAAAAUCCUACUGAACAAAUCAAACCGGAAGGUAAUUGUCGUCUGUCAUUUCCACGUGGUGCUCCGCUACCUAGAAUAUCGUCGACUCCCAGUCAGAAAAGCACAGAAGAAAUUCAUUUAAGAUUGAAGGUCAUGCAAUAAAGAAAAGGCCACAAUCAUGUCUGGAAGCCAAAUAUAAUAAAAAUUAUGUUUCAUCGCUGUUGAAAAUGACACGGGAGCUGCCACCCAUGGUUAAUACCCAAAAAGUAAUAAAACCAGUCAAAAUUUAUUAUAAUCAACGCAGAUUCGAUCUCGAACCUUCCUAUAUUGAAAAGAAACCGUCAAAAGAUCACAUUGCGCGUAAGAACCGUACGAAGACAAAAUCAAAUAGUCCUGUAAAAAGGGUAAGAAGAAUCUCCCGCACUCCCCAUCAUGUUGACAUCAUGUAAAGUGCUGAGGGCAAAGAUGAUAAUUCCAUUCGAGAAACGCACAAUCCGCCAUUACCUCCGAUAUAUUGACCAAAAACAAAUUAAGCAAAAGUGGAAUGACUGAAAACCAUUUUAUAUGGAUUGUUUUAUACUUAAAAUUUGAAGAUUUGUAUUCACGAGUAUAGGUUAAUACUUAUCAUUAUUAAAAACAACAACAUCGGUUUAAAUGGAAACCAAUAAUAUUCUUUAUAGAACAACGGUUUCAGGUGAUAAUGAUGAAGUGGACGUCGUGACGAUGAUGAAAUCGACAUCGCGACGACGACGAUGAUGACAACGACGACGACGACAAAAAAAUGACGAUGACUGUGACGAUGACAAUGACGACUUGAUAUCGGAAAUUAUUUUGUUUUCAAUGAACAAGACAACAAUUUUUGCAAGGGUCACUGAAAAAACCAAACAUGAUGAUACUUCAACAAUUAUUGUUGUUGUGAUUUGUCGAAAGCAGUUGUCAUACCUUUCAUUGGAAAUAUACUUUAUAAAUGUUCGUGGACUUGAGUUAUUAAUUGAACCUCAGGAACACGUAUAAAUUACAAACAGUUUAGAAAUAUUUGACUAACGGACAGAAAUAAUGGUCAAGGUAAAAUUCUUUUUGUGAAUAUUUCAUGAUUUCUGGUACCUUUUUCACUUAUUUAAUGUGUCGUCUUAUCUUAUCCAUACGACAGUCUUUAUAGAUUUUGACCCGCACUAAUGGAAAAUAAUAACAGUGGGUCAAAAUUUAUAUAGAAACAACACAUUUCAUAGGUAAAAAUAUUUAAAGUUUUUACACACACAAAAAUAAAACAAUUGCUUUCUUGAUCUCAAUGUCACAGUGAUGCCAUCAAUGCGGUUCAAAGUCUGACAUCUUACUUCAAGUUAAGAACCUACCCACAGAACACUAUUACAGGGAAACAUCAGCGAAUCAAAUUUCUUAAUUUUACUUUAUUAGUACUGGAAAUUUAAUACAUUAUAAUGCAGGCUUUGAUUCAGAUGAGUACCACCCUCCCCCUCCCCCAAUACAAUAAUGGAAAUAUAAUUUCUAGUAAAAGUAACAUGAAUAUAGCAUUCAAUAUAUUUCCUAAUUCUUAGAGGCGCCGACCCCUCAAACAUCAAAUACUGGAUUCGCACCUGUCAAAAAUGCACGAGUUUAUUAACCACAGUAAGAACGUCUUAGUCUUUUAUCUCGGUCAUAUUGGUGUAGUCUAUCGUGCUGUUGACGGUCUUUUUAAACUUAUACUAAAACAGUCAUAUUGAUUUGAUUAAAAUAUAACAAGACUGCACUUCAUUUUGUGGUAUUAACUUUGAGAUAACGAUUAAAAUAUUACAUUUGUGAGACAGUAUUCAAAUAAAAUGAUAUAUGCAGCCUUUUUGUAAUUUCAUUUUACGCCGUUAUCUACGAUAGAAACAGAGGUGUGAGGAAAACAAACAAAUAUCGUAUCCCGCUUGGAAUUAUUUAAGGUUUAUUAGUACACGAACAAAAUAAAUGAAUUAACAUGUUGCAACCAUGAUAUGCGUGCAACUCCCCUGUCUGGUAGUGUGCAGUCAAAACAUAUUGAUCGUACCUUGGAUGAUUUUUAAGAUAUAAGGGUCUGAGGUCACGAGGGGAGCUUUUGUUCUUUAGACCAUUUUUCUCUAUUCUAUUUUUAUUCUAAUUGUGCCUAAUUAUAUUUAAGAACCUCAUUUUUAACUAUUCUCUAUUUUUUCGUCAAUUUAUUCUAUAUUUUGAGCCCAACAUUCUCUAUUCUGUAAUCCAUCUCCUUUUGAAGCCCUAGCUGAUGCAGUGACCCUCUUUCGUGGUUGUAUCGAUAUAUAAACCUUGUGUGUGUGGCGCUCUUUGUCUAAAAUACUCAAAGUUUACUGAAAAUGUUACAUGAAAGGGAACUAUUGUAUUGAUAGUAUACUGUACACAACAUAUAUAGAUGUAUUUCAAACUGUACUAAGUAUAAACUUUUUCUGGGGCUUAUCCAAAGUUCACCAUGUAAACUGUAAUUGUGUAUUGUUAAAGGAGAAUAAGCAUAUAUCGUUUUAUUGAACGUACGUUGAACAUGCUUAGUACAUAUAGCAAUGCAAUUCCGAUAUAAAACACAUAAAUAUUUCAUUUUUAUGUUGAGGAGUUUCAUAUUUAAGUUCACAAUAUUCACAGAUUAUUGUUCUAUACUUGUAAAGCAGAAUAAGCAUACGUUGUUUUAGUAUAUGUUAAAAUGUAAAGUACAUUUAUUUGAAUGAUAAUCCAUACACCGGUGCCUCUAUAGAAUGUUUUAUAUUGAUUGGUUGUUGUUCGCUUAAUGUUCAGUGGCACACAGUUCAUGCAUAUUAUUCAGGACUCGAUGCUUAGUAAUGUGUUGCCGUCUGUAGUCAUGACAUAUAAGCCCCUUCCUCCCUAUGUAAAAAAAUCGAAUAACAACUGACUGGAGUCUAUGUAUCCAUAGAUCUCGGGAAAAUCACUUUUCGAAAGUUGCGGUAUCUCCCCCUGUUAAUCGUGUUGAUAAGACCUUGCUAUUUCCCGUUCCACUUUUUAUCGUUUUGAAGAUACCUUGCUAUUUCUCGCCCCCCUUUUAAUCGUAUAUGCAUCUUUGCUAUCGAUAUACAGGUACAUAUUCUCAUAUGUUUAGCACUGAAAACAAAAAGAAUAGCUCCAAAUAAGGAAGUCCAAAUCACAGAUGUAUAACCAUUUAACAUAUCCUUUCUGAUCAAAUGGUAUUUUAAUUAGUUUAACAUAAUAUAAAUAGCUACAAAAUAAUGCAAAUAACCGUAAACCCAUGUUUAAUGUGUACAUAUACUACUAGUACAUAAGAAUUGUUUUUGUCUAUUACGUAAUAGACAAAAAGAAAAAUAAAAGUGUUUUAAUGCAUGACUAUGUUAUAGAUAAUGCAUAUUUAAGGUUUAUCUUGUCGUAGAACACACCGAGGGGUGUCAGUAGUUAUCAAAGGUACCAGGAUUAUAAUUUGAUGCGCCAGACGCGCGUUUCGUCUACAUAAUACUCAUCAGUGACGCUCAGAUCAAAAUAGUUAUUAAGCCAAACAAGUACCAAGUUGAAGGGCAUUGAGGACCCGAAAUUCCAAAAAGUUGUGCCAAAUACGGCUAAGGUAAUCUAUUCUUGGAAUAAGAAUAUCCUUGUUUUCAUCGAAAAAUCUUUAGUUUUGUCAACAGAAAUCUAUAAAAAUGAGCAUAUAAUUGAUAUUCAUGUCAACACCGUAGUGCUGACUACUGGGCUGGUGAUACCCUCGGGGACGAAACGUCCACCAGCAGUGCAUCGACCCAGUGGUGUAAAUAGUUAUCAAAGGUACCAGGAUUAUAAUUAAAUACGCCAGACGCGCGUUUCGUCUACAUAGGACUCAUCAGUGACGCUCAGAUUAAAAUGGUUAUAAAGCCAAACAAGUACAAAAGUUGAAGAGCAUUGAGGACCCGAAAUUCCAAAAAGUUGUGCCAAAUACGGUUAACGUAAUCUAUUCCUGGGAUAAGAAAAUCCUUGGUUUUCUCAAAAAUCUAAAGUUUUGUCAACAGGAAAUUUAUUUAAAUGACUAUAUAAUUGAUAUUCAUGUCAACACCGAAGUGCUGACUACUGGGCUGGUGAUACCCUCGGUGACGAAACGUCCACCAGCAGUGGAAUCGACCGUAGUGAGGUCUUCAUUGGGCAAUCAUGACACCCCGACUAAAGUAAAAACCCUAAAAUAUGCAUUAGCUGACUUAUAUACCGUCAAAAAGAUAUUAUUGUCUACCGAUCGCACUAGUGAGAAAUUCCUUUCUGAUCCGUUCAUGUUUUAAUACUUCCUACGGCUCAUUAAGAAUGUGAGCAUGUGAAUUACAUCCCAGUUCCUUUGUUCUAACAGGGGUGAUCUGAGCCGGAUCACCCCUACCAGAUCACCCCAGUUUGAGUUUCUUUGCUAUGCAUGCUUUCCUUUGUUCUGUAACAUUUUGGCGGGAAUGUCAAAUCUACUAUAAAACUUAUAAUUAAAUAUACAAUUAUACGGAAAUGACUAUCUAUCAAAAUUCACGUAGAAAAAAUCCAGUGUAUAUGCUAGGAUUCGAACUCUAGACCUUAAGCAUAUCAAGCCACGACACAACCAAUACACCAGGACGACUGGAUACAAACUGUCAGUAAUUUAACAUACUUAAAGGAAGCAAGAUAUUUUUAUAAGUGGGGCGAGUUGUCAGACCUUUUUUCAGUGGGGUUUAAACCCUUUUCGUUAAUAAGUGAGUUGUCAGUGAUUGUUUAGUUUGAUUUUACACUUCUUCAAAAGUGGGGCGAGUCGGUAAACAAGAGUGGGUCGAUUAUUUUUUAUAAAGUGGCGAUAUAGGUUGGGCCGAUUUGCCAGUGGGGCGAGUUGACAUUAUUUGAUAUCUGCUCAUCGUGUUCGGGGGUCAAAAAGGGUAUAAAUCAUAUAGUAAUGUAUAAAGUAUAUUAUAAUGGUUGUGAGGCGUUCUUAACUCGAUUUUAUGAAUUGUAAAUGGUUUUUCGUCUAAUCUAAAACAGCUGGGAUGUAAAAUAGUUAUCCCACUCGGACUUGGUGUGUCAGUGUUAGAUCACCCUCUGGCCUCCGGCCAUCGGGGUGAUCUUACACUGACACACCGCGUCAUCGUGGGAUAACUAUUAAAUAAAAGCUCACUAAUUAAUUUAAAUGUAAACGUUUGAAAUCAGUAUUAUCUAAAUUCAAUUAAGUUAUUACUGUAACUGCAGGAAGUAAGACACAAAUGAAUACAACUCACUUUGUAAGUAUAAUUUGUUGUACCGACACAGUUUAUGGAAAGGGGUCCUAUGGGUUUUUUCUAUGUGUAGUUUUCGUAAAAGGGUGGAUACUGAAUUCCUAAGAGGGUUUUCUCACAAAAAAGGGGGUCGGGCACACACCAUGAAUUCACCUUUCGCAAUGAAUUUUUAAUUUAAUUCUAUACUCCCCGACCCCCAUUGUGAGAUACGUGGCUGUUAUUCAAUAGAAUUAUAAGAAAUUUUAUCUGUUGAUCAUUUGACAGAGUAAAAAGUAAAAUAUAGACGAAAUGUACGGAGUAGGAACUCGUGAUGCAUGUACGUGUAACACGAAAACGAAUAUCAAUGCAUGUAGGUCACAGUAUGAUACUAUUCAAUGGAAUCAAUAAGAUGUUCAUCUCACAUAUAUGAUUAUAUCCUUUUACUGUAGCGAUAAAUUAGCAAAAAUUCACAUUAUUUUUUUUGAAAGUUUAAAUUCGCGUCAAUGGCGAUUUUGUGUUAAAUCUAUCAAAGAUGGAACUUUAACAAAUAAAUUCCACAAUUGACAACAACAAACUAUCAAACGAAUUAAAUGUUGAAGUUAAUUAUAUGCCUUGAGCCAUAUUUUUUUUGAAACAUGGUAUCGUCCGGGUUGAUUCUUCGAAAGAAUGACCUAUCGGUAUGAAAGAAAAUAACUCCAUAUAGGUAUAUACGAUUCAAUAAUUAAUGUAUUUGUUUACUACAGCAAGGUUACUUUUUUUAAGAUAUCUUUGUCCUGUAACAUAAGAACCUAAUAACCUUUUGCAAAACCACCCCUAUAUGUAACAUGCAAUUAUUAAGUGUGGCGAUGUAAAAGGUUUAUCAGUAUAUUUAUUUGUAAUUGAUUAAAUAUAUCACUAUUAUCCAAUUCUAAUCACAUAAAUGAUGAAAAUAGCUGGCUUGUAUCAGUCUAAAAUCAAAACUAAACUGUUGUGGUUGCUUACCCAUUACGAUAAAUGUUUCAAACGAACAAUCGCUGUAUCUGUGACCCUAAUAUACUAAACUUUAUAUCUAAAUCAAAUCUAGAUUAAUUUCUUUAUAUACAUUUCGACUAUCUUUUAUAAAAAGUUAAAUGCCCGAUUUUAUUAAUUUCAAAUUUUGGGUCCUCAAUUUUGUGUCCUCAAUGCUCUUCAACUUUGUAUUUGUUUGGCUUUUUAACUAUUUUGAUCUGAGCGUCACUGAUGAGUCUUAUGUAGACGAAACGCGCGUCAGGCGUAUAAAAUUAUAAUCCUGGUACUUUUGAUAACUAUUUACACCACUGGGUCGAUGCCCCUGCUGGUGGACGUUUCGUCCCCGAGGGUAUCACCAGCCCAGUAGUCAGCACUUCGGUGUUGACAUGAAUAUCAAUUAUAUGGUCAUUUUUAUAAUUUUUCUGUUUACAAAACUUUUGAAUUUUUCAAAAAACUAAGGAUUUUCUUACCCCAGGAGUAGAUUACCUUAGCCGUAUUUGGCACAACUUUUGGAAAUUUUGUGUCCUCAAUGCUCUUCAACUUUGUAUUUUUUUGGCUUUUUAACUAUUUUGAUAUGAGCGUCACUGAUGAGUCUUAUGUAGACGAAACGCGCGUCUGGCGUAUAAAAUUAUAAUCCUGGUACUAUCAAAUAUGUGACACUGGAUGCUACACAACUUGCAAUUAAUUGAUUUUAUUUUCAUUUUCAUUUUGAGCGAUGAUAUAUAAAGGCAACAGUAGUAUGCCGCUGUUCGAAAGUUAUAAAUCGAUUGAAGGAAAACAAAUCCGGGCUACAAACUAAAACUGAGGGAAAUACAUCAAAUAUAAGAGGAAAACCACAAAACAACAGAAAUACCAAAGUGCAAAAAAAAAACGGCAUUGCAACACACACAGAAACGAACUAUAAGAUAACAGAAGAAUGAGAUAGAUGAGCAUAAUUCCGAAUUUUAAAUAAAUAUUGUAUUGACUGAUUGAUUGACUAUUGGUUUUUGAUGCCACAUUACGCAUGACUAUAUUAUGAUUCAAACCUGUUUUAAUUGAUAAAGGAAACCGGAGUACCCAAAGAGAAACACGUAUUUCGACAGUAAACUAAAUUAAGUCACCACGUUAGAUGUGUGAUGGUGAUUGGGUGUUGUUGUUUAAAACCUUUAAAUCAGGUAUUGUUACUUGUAGUGUUUAAUGGCAACAUCAUCUCAGAGCUGUGGUUUUUGUGGCAUUCGUCAAAUCACCAAAGCACACAUAGUCUGGUGUACAGAAUGUGACGAGGGAUUAUGUACAGAAUGAAAAGAACAUCACAGCUUGUUAAACCUUGAUACCUUUUAAUGAAUAUCAGAAAUUACCAGCUGAUAUACUCAAAAUUACUCAGUACUGUACUAAACAUGAUAAAGAGUAUCAAAUGUAUUGCCAAAAGCAUCAAUUUCCCUGCUGCGGCAAAUGUGUCGUGGGAAACCAUAAAGAAUGCCGAGAUUUAGUCGAAUUAUAUGACGUUAUUCACAAUGUCAAAACCUCCAAUGCCAUGUGCGAAAUAGAGGAAACAUUAGUUGAAGUACUAGCAGAAAAUCUACAGAAAAAUUCGCCAAAAUCAACAGGACAAUCUGGCAAAAUUCAAAGAAAGUAGAAAUGGUAUAGAAACAGAAAUAAAGAAUACCAGAAUAAAGAUCAACAACCAUAUCGACAAGCUACAAGAAGAUUUAAUUAAAAAAAUCUAUGCGGAAGAGGAAAAAGAAAACUCCAAAAUUUGUCAGCUUUUGUAAACAUUAGAAAAGAAGGAAACAGAAAUAGCAAAAUGACAGAGAAACAUUAUGAACAUCAAGCAACAUGCAACGGACCUUCAAGUCUUUCUUUCAAUGAAGCAAAUAGUACGUCCUUAACAAAAAUCAAUUCCUUCAGUCGCUUGAAGAAGGCAGAAAUUUCAAUCAAACUUCUCUUUCAUAUAAGAUCAACACCUCUAUCGAGAAUAUCAUGUCCGAUAUCAUAAGUUUUGAAGAAGUGCGUACUGAGGCUAAAUCUUGCGAUAUAGUUCUGACUAGGAAAAAGGCCUAACAAGCCCAAAUGAUGGUACCGACUGUUCAAUCAAGAUCCAUUGAAAAUAUUAGGUUAACAAAAGAACAGACCAUCACGACUCAAGGAAACUCAAUCUACGGAUGUUGCAUGUUGCCAGAUGGUAGAAUGGCAUUUACUUCCUACUCGGAGUGUAAGGUAACUGUAUUUUACAUGAAAGGAUUAAAAAAACUUUGAACUGAAGAUGCCCUGUAACGCGUUCGAUAUAGUGUACAACAGAAAGGACAAUACAUUGGCUGUUACAUCUGGUAGUUCGAGGGAACAAUGUAUUACAAUUAUUGACUUGGAGAAUAAACAAAUCAAGAAAACAAUUUUACUAAAUUCGAACAGUUAUGGAAUUGCAUUGAAAGAUAACCGUUUAAUUUAUUCUGGUAACGACAGAGGUAUACGAAUGAUCUAUAUAAACAUCGAGUCUAUAAGUGACAUAGUCCGAGACAUAAUGCCCAGUCAAUGUUACAUUGCAACAUUAAGGGACAACAUAUAACAUACAAAUAAUGAAACAAGCACUGUGACAUGUUAUAAUCUACAAGGUGAAAUAAAAUGGAUAUACCAAAAAAAGAACAUUCUUCAGAGUCCUCGUGGCAUUGAUGCAGACAGUGAUGGUAAUGUGAAUGUGGUAGGGAGCGAAUCGAACAAUGUUGUAGUUAUCUGCUCUGGGAUGGUCUUAAUUUUCCUUUUUCACUUCAUUAUAGUAGAACAACGAAUCAGUUGCUGGUUACGAACUGCAAUAACACUGCAUAUUUGUUUGGUGCAGUUUAAACAAAUAUACAGUUAAAAAUUCUCUCCGCUUAUGUCAAUCUGUGCAGUAUUCAUAAAACAUGAUUUAGAACAACUUUUUUGUAACGUUCUGGCAAAGAUAUAAUAUAUAGUCUGUGUUGUAAAUAGAAUUAUGCGUCAAUUACAUAUAGUUAUUAAGCUUAUAAUAGUUGAUUUAUGUAUUGCCAUUCUUAUGAAUUAAAUGGUAUGGAAUCACUAAUAUUCAUAUAGAUUAACAAAGUUCAUUUUCACAUACCUACCUCUAAUCACGACAAGACUUAAAAUCAAAUUAUCAAGAGUAAGAAACAGAAGUUGCCAUGAAAUACAUUCAAUGUAAAUAAAACAAGGAGAUGCCGUAGUUGGUAGAAGCUAAAGGUAAUAGAUUAUUGAUUUUACCAAUGAACUACCACCAGCGCCAAAUGCUCCAGAUAAAAAAAAAAAUAUUAUACAUGACAAAAUACAACCACUGAAAUACUUCCUUACUAAAGACAGGCACAUGCAUAUGUAGCGAGAUUAGACAAAUGGAACAACAAUAGGCACAUGGAAUUGUAAAAUCAGUUAAUAUAAAUAGUAACAAAAUCAAUGAUAACGACAACAUGUAAUAAAAGUCAAAUAAAACAUUACAACUUAUCAAAAAUACUGAAAGUUACUGUUACCAAUUGGAAUAACAUUACCUGUUUAUAUGAAACCAUGGUUUCCUAUACUCUCAUAUGUGUGGCUGAACCGGAGAGUUGGUUUUGACCAGUAUUUAUUUGCAUGUGUGAAAUUGGGAUUUUCAUCUCUGAAACUACUGAACCAUUUUAAGCUAAAGUUGAAAUGAAUGGUCAGUUAGUUUGUGAAAAUUUGUUGACGAUUGGUAUUCAAUCAUGGUUGCUUUUACUGAUAAUAUCAAAUAUAAGAUAAGAGCGGAGAAAAAUACCGAAGGGACAAUCAAACUCAUAAGUCAAAAACAAGCUGACAACGAUAUAUAUAUAUAAAAACAGAAAAAGACAAACAGACAAACAACAAUGAAUAAAACACAGAAAACUAAAGACCGAGCAACACAAAACCCACCAAAAACUUUGGGUAAUCCCAGGUGCUCCACAAGGGUAAACAGGAUGUGCUCUACAUGUGACAGCCUUCGUGUCGCUCGUGUUAGUACAAACCUAAUACACGCCUUGAAAUAGCGUAUCAAUUUGGAGAUAUACACUCCGUAUGCAGGCGCUGCUGGAAUGUGGCUGCAUAAAAAUGGAAGGUCCACAAUUGGGAAGAUGAAAUCAUCUCUCUUGUCGAUAAGUGUUGUUGUUGUCAACAGACUCUCAUUGAUAAUUUCUAGAUGUAAUAAGGUAUGAGAGUGAUUGGUGGCCUUCGACUGUUUUCUGCUCUUUGGUCGGGUUGUUGUCUCUUUUACACAUUUCCCAUUUCCAUUUUCAAUUUUGUGGGAAGACUAAUUCGUAUCUAUUGUAUCCUUUAUCUGAAGUUCGAUAAAGUUACAUUCCAUUGUAAAACCAAUUAAAUGUAAUUCUAUCCUCGUUAAGAAAAAAUGUUUAUACCAAUAUAUGGUCAAAUUACCCAGAAUUUUUUACUUUCAACAGUUCUUUUCGGAAUUUUUUAUAUCUGUGGAUAUGUCACGAAUCCCGAACACAUAGUUCUGAAUCCGCGCUGACGUUGCUGUUAGCUUCAAAAGCUUCGUGCUAAGGGCAGAAGCAGCAAAUACUUAUUUUAAAUUUUAUAGUUUGACCCGUGUGCUAUUCUAACCCACGACCCCCCGCACUCGAGGCGAAAACCCCACCAUCAGACCAGCGAGGUGGUUGUAUUGUCAUAGAUGUAAAAACCAUAAACUUGAUUGACUGAAUGAUAAUCAUUUGGUUAACAGUAAUUUAAUUAUUUCAGACCCUCUUGCAACAAAAUUAACUAAUACUAGGUUGUCUCAAAACAGUUCUCUGUGUAAUUUUAUAAAAAUCAGCCCAUCGGUUUUUUUUAAUGAAUUUUGUAAAAUACGGGUGCACAGAAGGAGGAACUGGUUGCUGUUAAAUCCUCAACAUUAUUAUGCAAACAAUCUAAACAAUUCCGUUUCAUUACGUUUUGUUCCAUUUUCCGGAUGACUAUUGGUUUUUGUGGAACGGAACGGGUCAAAGCAAACCACAUAUUUCCUGUCUUGUUGAUUUAUCUUCUUUGUUUGUGUUCUGAAUCAUUAUUGUUAAACUUAGUGAAAGUCAGAUACCAUUAGAUUUUGAAAAUUUUUGACCUGUCAUUCCAAAGUUAUGGAUUUUGGACCAUCAAAUUAAUGAAGGAUACUAGUGUACAUGUCAUCACAGUGGAUAUAGGUACCCUUGGUCUGGUUCCCUGUUCAUUGUCUAAGAAAAACAACAUUACUGUACAAAUACCAGCGUAUAUAUAGUUUAUUGAUUAGUCAGCUGGACUCCUUGCACGAGGAGAAUUCAACACUGUAUUGGAACUUGAUUAAUGAACUACAGGAAAAACACGAAACACAAAAAAAAAUGCGGAGUACCACUAUCAAUUUUGAAAUCACAUUUCCAAAAAGUUGUCACAACUGAAAGGUGAAUUUCAAAGUAGAUAUACAGAGCUAUGUGAAAAACUGAAACAGUUAGAAAACUCAAAAUGUAUCAACGAGUUGGACUCAGCUAUCACAGAGUCUGAAAUAUCCAAAGUCAUUUCACACUUAAAAUGCAAUAAAUCAUCAGGCUUGGAUAACAUUAGUAAUAACAUGAUAAAGAAUCGGCAGACAUUUCUUUUAAAAAGUUUUCAACAGAUGUUAAAUACUUGUCUGUCUUCAGGUAUAUACCCAACAUCAUGGGCUGAAGGUUAUAUUAAACCAAUCUUUGAAUGCAACAAUACAAGUGACCCUAACAAUUAUAGAGGAAUAACAAUAACAAGUGCAAUUGGAUAGCUUUUUAAUAGAAUUUUUAUUUUUUAAGUCUAAGACUGGACAAAUUUCUCCAGGAACAUAAUAUUAUGCAUGAUAGUCAUAUUGGAUUCACAAGGAAAGCCAGAACUGCAGAUCAUAUGUUUAUUUUAAACUGUCUUUUUAUUAACAAAUACUGUAAUUCAAAAAAAAGAGACUGUUUGCCUGUUUUGUUGAUUUUCAGAAGGCUUUUGAUACUGUUAUACAUACAGGGAUCAAAAUUAAACUACUAGAUAUUGGGGUUGGAUCUUAUUUCUAUAACAUUGUUAAGAGUAUGUAUGAAAUAACCAAAUCAUGUGUCAAAAUUAAAAAUCAAGUAAGUGAUUUGUUCCCAUUAGAUAUCGGAGUGAAACAAGGUGACAUUCUCAGUCCUGAUUUAUUCAAGAUAUUCAUAAAUGAUUUGCCCAGAUAUUUGUCAGAGACUAGAGAUCCAAUUAAUGUCAAUGACAAAGAUCUACAUUGUUUAAUGUAUGCCGAUGAUAUUGUUUUAUUAUCUACAUCAGCCGAAGGACUACAAGAAAAGCUGAGAAUACUUGAUAAAUUUUGCAAAGAUUGGUGUCUCAAUGUGAACACUAAUAAGACAAAGGUUCUGAUUUUCAACAAAACAGGCAGACAUGUAAAACAAAUAUUCACAUUUCAGAAUAUAAAUCUGGAAUUUGUUUCAAGAUACAAAUAAAAAAAUACAAAAUAACUAUACAAGAAAUCCCUGAAAGCUUAUUCUAAAUUAAGGAAAGAUCUUUUAUCACUUAAUUCUAACAUAAAAACAAGUAUUGAUGUUUUGUCCACACUGUAAAACAAAUUUUAUUAUAUGGUAGCGAAAUAUUGGGGAUGUUUAAUUCUCUUUCCUCUAAAUGUUAAAAGGAAGAUAUAUCUUUUUGUAAAAUUAUAUUCAGGUUUACCAUGUGAGAAACUUCAUAUAAAAUUUUGUAAAUCUAUACUUUGGGUUUCUGUAACAAGCUCUUUUUUACAGAGCUGGGUUGUUAGCCCAACGUCCAACCUCCGCUCCGGUGGACCGGGUUUGCUCUCUGGGUAGUCCUUCCCGUAGAUGAUUGAAUUACCCUGCUAACGGAUUACAUCUGUCCGGAUUUCUUUCUGGGUUGUCUCCCAUAGCCUUUGACUUCCACGGUCACCCACAAGGCAGUGGGGCUAUUUACCGAUAGCUGGGGGUUUGGUUUGCAGGCACCAGGGCAUAUCCACUCACCGGUGGGCUUAGCAUGCUUUGCAUCUAGGGGCCAAACCUCCUCCGAGACUUUGUGGUUUUGCCUGGGGCCAUGAGGCGACCAGUUUCCAUCUAUCACCUCGUGGAGGAUCCCAUAUCUGGGCCACAUAUGUCUUACUGCAUGAGAGGCUGUAACUGGCAGGAAAGACUUACACACACUCGGUUCUCCUUUUCACAGCAAGCUGCUAGCCAGUGAUGAAUGCUGAAAGCGAGAGUGACAAGCACAGACACAACAACACACAUACAGGUGCGCAUCACACAGUCAUUUGAGGCCUUAUGCGACUUCUGGAACGGAUAGAAUUAAGGUUAAGGUUAAGGUAAGGAUACUUUGGGUAUACAAGAAAACAACAAAUGCUGCAGUCUUGGAAGAUUUCCAAUAUAUUUUGAUAUUAUUAAAGGAAUGUAAUUGUACUGGUAUAGAUUCGAGAAUUUAUGUAAUAAUUUUCCUCUAUUAAAAGAGGCAUAUACACAAUCACAGACACUACAUCAGAUGAAUAAAACAUCAUAGUAUAGUUCUUCUUAAUUUAAUAUGUUCUCAUGUCCGGGUCAGUUUCCCAAUUCUAUAACUCAUUUUGACCAAUAUAUAUAUAAAUACCCUUAGCCACAUCACAAGAAAAAUAAUUGGUGCCGAUAUUUGUUAGUUAAAAAUCUAAAUCGUGCACCCAAAGUGUUCCUCUACUAAUUUUGAGUUCUAGUGCCUAUCCAUUUUUUUUUUUUCCAAGGUGGAAAAGUAGCUUAAAUUUCCUUGGACUAGUAAAAAUUUUAAGUUAAAAAAAAUGCAGAAUCUAUUCUUUCAAAUAAAUCAUUAUAUCAAUAGUUCCUAGUAUAAUUCAAUCUUCUUGCUGAUCAUAUUCACUGUUCUCACUAUCUUCUUAUCUCUUAUAGUUCCCAAAUUAAUAACAAACUAACAAAAAAGGGAGACAUAUCGAUUCUAGAUUCCAUUGACGGCGUCAACAUUUAGGCAUUUAGGUGGGGGGUUUUUUAGCGGUUUUUUUCUGAUAAAUGGACAUAGUUUGUUAUACAGUUACCGUUCAGAUUUAGUCUGGGUUAAAGUUUUUCGGUCAUUAAUACCUUUGUCAAACAUUCAUGGAAGUUUAUAAAAUUUGAAGCUGUACAAAGUCAGGAAUAUGACAGUUGUUAUCCAUUCAUUUGUUGUGUUUGAGCUUUUGAUUUUGAUUAUGGACUUUCCGUUUUGAAUUUUCCUCGGAGUUCGGUAUUUUCUAUACUUUACUUUUUAUGACAUAAAGACAGUAUCCAGAGCAAAAUUUCACGUAUUUAACUUAUAAAUGUACUUAGUUCUUUACAGCUCUGUCAAACCUUUAUAGAUUUUUUUUUAACAUUUUAAUGAUUAAGAGAUAAUGUCUGAAGCAAAUCCUUUUAGUAUUUUUUCUGAUAGAUGGGCUUCGUUUUUUUCAUUUAACAUUUACAUACAGUCUCACUGUCUGGGAUUAAAUGCGUUGACAUGAUACAUUUGUAAACCUUCAUUGACUGUUAAGAAACUUGGACAGAAGCUAAUCUUCAAGACGAAAACCGCAUCUUAACAAAACGAUUGAUUUUUUUUAGAUUCUGUAUUUUACUGAUUAAUGAACUCACUCUUAAGUCAACAUAACACUAACAGCAGACAUCGAAGGCGAGACAUAGGGUUCUGUGGAAUCUCUUAUGAAUUUUUGAUAAAACAUAUGCACAUGGAAUGGUAUGUAUUUUUGUUAUUUUAAAUUUAUUAAAAGGGUUGAUGUAACGGAUGUUUUCACUACAUAGAAAACAAAAGGCCGAGCUACACAUUUCUCCCCUUUAAUACGAUGAAGUUCUCCUGUGCUUCAGAAAUGUAAGCAAAACUAGAUAUAUCCACAAUGAUUAAGGGUUUAUAGAUGUAAAAGAAGAGUGCCAAUGAGACAACUCUCCAUCCAAGUCACAAUUUGUAAAAGUAAACCAUCAUAUAGGUCAAAGUACGGCCUUCAACACGGAGCCUUGGCUUACACAGAACAGCAAGCUAUAAAGGGCCCCAAAAAUUACUUGUGUAAAACAAUUCAAACAGGAAAAACAACAGUCUAAUCUAUAUAAAAAACGAGAUACGAGAAACACUAAUGUUUAGUACAAUCCUAUCGUACUUGUAUAAAUGUAGAUUAAAUUCUAAAAUUCCCGGCUUUUAUCAACUUUUUAAAUCAGUCAUGUGAUUAAUAAUCUUCCUUGGAAACCAGACAGGGAAUGAAUAUUUCAAACUAAAAGGUAAUUUUUAGGAUUUUAUCGAUAUUUCAAAGAUUAAUUCUACUUUAGUUAUUAUUUCCAUUCUCGCUAAUAUACUUAUGACCUAAUUACGUUAAAAUUUGUAAAUGUUUGCUAUUUAACUUUCGUUCUGGGCUUGGCCAUAAUAUAUAUUUAUCAUAAUUUAUGUUAUGGCCUAUUUCUAUGUCAAGAUAUUGUUUUCGUUCAUAAUAUCUUUGUUAUCUACACGAGUUUGUACAGUAAUUAAACAAAUUAUUGGAACUUCAUAUAUACAUGUUCACGGGCCCAUUCAUUUAGCAGGUAAAGGAAACGAAACUGUAUUUGGUAUAUGUAUCACUGAUGUCAGUACACAGUUAAACAUGUUAAAGGUUCUCAUAUAUUUAUACCAAAUGUACAACCCAAAACACAAAAAGGAAGUCGAAUCACGUUAGUUUACUCAUUUAACAUCUCCUUUCUCUUAAAAGGUAUUAAAUGUAUAAUUUCGUAUGAUCAAGUGGGUGCAUCAUUCGUGACUAACAGACAAUGGUGCAAUUUCAGGUUGUCCUUCAACAUCAAAUCUAAAGUAUGUGGAACUAUACUCAUGCAUAUGGCAGGGUAGAAGAGGGGGGCAUCGCCCAUAUAAAGGAUUUGUAUAGUAAGACUUCUUACUAUACAAAUCCUUGCCCAUAUCUAUUUUUUUUUUUUAAUUGUAUUAACCAAGGAUUUGUAUAGUACUAUCCUUGUUUUAACAUCUAAUAACUAUAAAAAAAAAAUGUCAAGAACCGUAACUCUCUAUCUUUAUUGUGUAUAAAUACAAAUAAAUACAAAUAAGUACCUACUAACCAAUACAAGUUGUUAUUUACUUUCUUUUUUUGUAAUAAUACAAAAAAACGAAAUUGAGUUUUUUUUAUGUUUAAAAAGUUUAUAUAUUUGUUCUGCUUAAUUGUACUGUGACAUGCGAGCAAGUUUUGAGGUGUAAUAAGUUGAUCAUUAUAUUUAUUUGUAAUUGAUUAACAAUAAAUAUAUGAACAUAAUCUAACUAAUACUUUCAAUAUGAUGAUUGAUGGAAAUAGCUGGCUAGUAUUAGUCUCAAAUCAACACUAAUUGAAGAUUAACUUCGUAUUUAAAACAAAUCUAAACUGAAUUUCUUGAUAAACAUUUCCACUAUCUAUUAUAAAAAGUUAAAUGUCGAUUUUAUCAAUUUAAAAUAUGUGACACUGGACUCUACACAAGCUGCAUAGGAAACCGAAGUACCUCACAGCACUUCUAUUUCAAAACUUAAUUAAGCCAUUAUUUCUUUUUAUGUUGGUGGUUGAUGGUGGUGCUGUUGUUAACUUUCAAAUCAGAUAUUGUUAUUUGUAGUUUGUGUUUAAUGGCGACAGCUACUAAGAGCUGUGGUGUUUGUGAACUCCGUCACAUCACCAAACCAUCCAUAGUCUGGUGUACAGAAUGUGACGAGGGCCUGUGUACAGAAUGCAACGAACAUCAUAGAUUGUCUAAGUCGUCGAGAAGUCAUUGCGUGAUACCCAUUACUGAUUACCAGAAAUUACCAACUGAUAUACUUAGAAUUUCUCAGUACUGUAGCAAACAUGAUAAAAAGUAUCAAAUGUAUUGCCAGAAGCAUGAAUUUCCCUGCUGCAGCAAAUGUAUCGUGGAAAGCCAUAACGAAUGCCGAGAUUUCGUCGAAUUAGAUGACGUCAUUCACAAUGUCAAAACCUCCAAUGCCAUGUGCGAAAUAGAGAAACAUUAGUUGAAGUUGCAGAAAAUCUACAGAAAAUUCGUCAGCAUCAACAGGACAAUCUGACGACAUUUAAAGAAAGUAGAAAGGAAAUUGAAAAAGAAAUAAAGAACCAGAAUAAAGAUCAACAACCAUCUUGACAAACUACAAGAGGAUUUAAUGAAACAACUAUAUGCAGUAGAAGAAAAAGAAAACUCGAGAAUUUGUCAGUUAUUGUCAUCAUUAGAAAAAGAAAGAAAAGGAAAUAGCAGAAUGCAAAGAAACAUUAUGAACAUUAAGCAACAUGCAACGGACCUUCAAGUGUUUCUUUCAAUGAAAAAAAUAGAGGAGGACGUCUAUAGCAAAAAUAAAUUCCUGCAAUCGCUUGAAGAAGGCAGGAAUUUCAAGCAAACUUCUCUUUCAUAUAAGACCAACAUCUUUAUCAGGAAUAUCAUGUCCGAUAUCUUAAGUUUUGGAGAAGUGCGUAUUGAGGCUAAAUCUUGCGAUAUUGUUCUGAUUAGUAAAAAGGCCAAACAAGCCCAAAUGAUGAUACCGACCGUUCAAUCAAGAUCCCUUGAAAUAUAAACUAAUUAACAAAAGACAUUAACACUCAAGGAAACUCAAUUACGGAUGUUGCAUGCUGCGAUGAUAGAUUGGCAUUUACUUACUACUGGAUUGUAAGGUAAUUAUAUCUAACAUGAACGGAUUAAACGACUUUGAAGUGAAGAUGCCUUGUGAAGCGUUUGAUAUAGUGUACAUCAGUGAGGACAAUACAUUGGCUGUCACAUCUGGUAGUUCCGAUAAGAAUUGUAUUACAAUUAUAGACUUGGAAAAGAAACAAAUCAAGAAAACAAUUUCACUGGAUUCAAAUAGUUACAUUUAUGGCAUUGCAUUGAAAGAUAACCGAUUGAUUUAUUCCGGUUACGACAGAGGAAUACGAAUGAUCAAUCUGUACAACGAGUCUAUUAGUGACAUAGUUCGGGACGAGAUGCCCUGUGAAUGUUACAUUGCAAUAUUUAGGGACAAUAUAUAUCAUACAAACAAUGAAACAAACACUGUCACAUGUUACAGACUACAAGGUGAAAUACAAUGGGUAUUCAAAAAUGAAAGAGUUCUGAGGUAUCCUCGGGAUAUUGAUGUAGAUAUUGAUGGUAAUGUGUACGUGGUGGGGUUCUCGUCGAACAAUGUUGUACUUAUCUCCAGUGAUGGACAACGACAUAGAGAAAUACUGACAAAAAGUUAUGGUCUUAUUAAUCCUACUUCAAUUCAGUAUAGUGGUCCAAAGAAUCAGUUGCUAGUCGCGAACUUGAGUGGCAAGGCUCAUUUUUAAUAUUUUAGUUCACAGUUAAAACUUCUCUCCCUUUAGGUCAUUCUGUACAGUGUUUAUAAUAACUGGAAACCUAUUUUGUAAAUAUAAGCUGUUAUAUAAUAUUUAGUGUUCAUUUGAAACAAAAUAAUGUAUCAAUGAAAUAUAGUUUUUGGGCUAACAACAGUGCCUCAUAUGCCUGAAGAGUAUACUUACGUUAAUAUUAAUUGAUGUUUCUUUGUUUACCCCCGCGCGUAUCGUUGGAUAUAAUAUUAAUACCAAUUACUAUAAUAUUCAACGAUACGCGCUGCGGUAAAGACAGAAAUAUUCUGUGUCUCUCCGUCUGUGUAUCCGUCCGAUCGUCCUUCUGGUCUUGUUAGCGCUGCCACAUGAACAAUUCUGGCCAGAUUUAAAUAAAUCUAUAUCCGUCAUAUUUUGACAUGUUCGAAAAUCAGUGCUGAUGAACUGUUUGUAAAGGAGUUUUUUCAAAAUAAAAAUCAUAUUUGAAAUUGUGAAUGCUCUCUCGCCUACUUAUCUUGUAGGAUUUUUAUCAGAUUUUUAUGUUUAUAUUAGCAAUGUCUAAGACAAGUUCUUAAAGACGGGUAUAUCCACUUUUAAAAGAAAGUAUUCCUUAUAUUGAAAGUUGUAUUGUAAGCGCUCUCAAAUCUACAUGUGUUGUCAUAAUUUAAGGAAAUGUAUAUCAUGUAUAUGAAAGGUAAUUCUGCAUCAUUUAGGACAAACGCCAAACUUAUUUUUUACAGGAAUUAUUACCCUUCAAUAUGUAAAUUCUUUGAAAAAUUAUAUUGUUAACACUCUUAUGUCUCCUUUUCUUGUUAAUUUUGUUUUGCAAUUCAGAGUAAAGCUUUAUAUUCGCAAGUAAUAAUUGUUUCAAUCUGAUUAAAAUACAAAUACGGUUUGUUCAAGCUUUGCUUGCAAGGAUCGGAUAACCUUCACUCUACGUUCUGUAGACAUUCCGGGAUCCUCUAGUUUUGUCGGAUUAAUACACACCUUCAAAAAUUUAAGGCUAAAAUUUUAUUGGCUGAUGUAAUAAUUACCAGAACAGAAAGUUAAACGGAUUGUUUUCAGAUCCUUGUACGCAAAGCUGAGACACCUGAGUCAGAUCCUUGUUAGCAAAGCUAAGACACAGGAGUCAGAUACUUGUUCGCAAAACUAAGACACAUGAGUCAUAUCCUUGUUAGCAAAGCUAAAACACAUGAGUCAGAUCCUUGUUAGCAAAGCUAAGACACAUGAGUCAGAUCCUUGUUCGCAAAGCUAAGACAGAGGAUUCAAAUCCUUGUUCGCAAAGCUAAGACACAGGAGUCAGAUCCUUGUUAGCAAAGCUAAGACACAGGAGUCAGGUCCUUGUUCGCAAAGCUAAGACACAGCAGUCAGAUCCUUGUUAGCAAAGCUAAGACACAGGAGUCAGAUCCUUGUUAGCAAAGCUAAGACACAUGAGUCAGAUCCUUGUUCGCAAAUCUAAGACACAGGAUUCAGAUCUUGUUCGCAAAGCUAAAACACAGGAGUCAGACCCUUGUUCGCAAAGCUAAGACACUGGAGUCAGAUCCUUGUUAGCAAAGCUAAGACACAUGAUUCAGAUCCUUGUUAGCAAAGCUAAAACACAGGAUUCAGAUCCUUGUUCGCAAAGCUAAGACACAGGAGUCAGAUCCUUUAGCAAAGCAAGACACAGAGUCAGAUCCUUGUUAGCAAAUAAGACACAUGAGUCAGAUCCUUGUUAGCAAAGCUAAGACACAUGAGUCAGAUCCUUGUUAGCAAAUCUAAGACACAGGAGUCAGAUCCUUGUAAGCAAAGCUAAGACACAGGAUCUGUAAUCUUUAAUCAGAAUACUCUGUGUCGAUAAUCUUUUCUUACAGGAGUUAUGGCCCUCUUGAAAUUUGAAAUUCUGUAGAAAAUUGCAUCAUAAGUGAUCCCAUGCCUUCAUUUCUUGUAUGAUAUUAUGAAAAAAAUAUAAAAUACCCAAAAAUAUAUAUUAUUACAGUACCCCUAUUUCUAUGUUUCAUUGUCCGUCCUUCAGUGCUACUAAACAGAAUUACUUCAUAUUUGGUCAGCAGCAUUGCAGUAAUGAGUUGUAAUUAUUGGAUCUUUCAGACACAUUCUUGCUGUUUUUCCAAACUUUAUAAUUCGACUGUAGAUAUGCUUAGAGAGAUCUGCGUGCCUGUUAUUUUAUUUUUUAAUUAUUUCCAUUAACAUAUACUAUAUCGAUCGACGUGAAACGUGAACAUGCUGUUCUUUUAUUGCGAUAUAUUUAUGUUACAAAUUACAUUAGACAUGAAUUUAUAAAAAGAUUAGUCGUUGGCAACAUUCUUCUCUGAAAUAUAUUAUGGUUGCGACAGGUCUAAUAUAUACAUUUUUUGUACAUUGUGUAUUGUUAUCUUAUAAAUUUCAUAGUAUGGGAAAUAUGAAAGCCAGACACGCGUUUCGUCUACAUAAGACUCAUCAGUGACGCUCGAAUCAAAACAAUUAAACGACCAAAUCAAGUAGGAAGUUGAAAGCAUUGAUGACCCAAAAUUUCGCAGAUCUUACAUUAUAAUAUCACGUUUAAGAAACAUAGCAUUUUUGAAUAUGUAGAGACAGUAAUUUUGUGUACUUUAUUUAAUCGUUGACAUGCACAUUCAAACGUAAGUACGAAUUGAUAUUAAAACUUAAUGAUGUAUUUCAAGGGAAUGCAUGCCCAACGAUAAACUAUUUAAUUACAAAAAAUAUACAAGAAUAUGACGAAGUUAGUCUUUAUUUUUGCGAGAGAAAAAAAGAUUAGAGAAUAACGGGGUGUUAAAAAUAUAAAGAAUAGGAAAUAAUGGGCAACAAAGAUAAAACCAUGAGAAAAAGUUCUAAAUAUAAAGGAAGUACACCACUAAGUCAUGGCCCAUUGCUUUCUAUGUUAAACUUCAAUUUCAAGCAAACACAGUUCUUUUGUUUUAAGUUCAAAUAAAGUGACAAUCAUUGCAUGUCAAAGCAACACUUUAUGGUGUCUUGUACUGAAAAAAAUCAACAUACCUUUAAUGACAUAUAAGAAAGAACUGGUUCCCGGAACUACGGAUGUACCAAAACAGGUACUUCAGAUCUGACAAACAGGGAAAAUGUACCAUCUUUAUAAAAUUAGGUGCAGUUAUUUUAAUAUUCAAAAUUAUAAGUCAAAAACUGUUUUACAAUGAUCACCAGUCAUUCAGCUUUCAUUUGAUACAAACAAUACCUAAAUAUUCUACAUAUUUUUAAAGUUACACUCAUGCGUAUGAACUAUUUUGUGUUAAAUAUGUACUACUUUCGUACUUGCUUUCUGACCGGGCCGAAUUGUAUGUGCUUUCUGGCCGGGCCAAAUUAGUGGUGUUACACCUACAGAACAAAGAAAUAAAUUACAACCUUUCCAGACCCCAUGUAUGACAAAAACAACCACUUACGUAAUUCGUGACUUGAAACAGGCACAUGAAAAAGUCGAGGUUAUUCAUAUAUAUCUCAACCUUUAAAUGUAGCCUAAUGAAAUAAACAAUACGUACAUGUAAACAUAAAAUCAGUACAGUCAUGAGAAAAGGACGUAAAUCGAUAAUAACGGCCGUAUAAAACAACAUGUAAUAGAUAUCAAAAGCUCACGUAAAAAUAAUACAGUAUAACACUAUAUCGUAUCAAAGAAUGAUCACAGUAACCUGUUAAAAAAACCGUUAAAAUAUUUUCUAAUUUUCAUGAUUAAAACUCCUAUAAGCAGUCACCUGACUAUUCCAGUUAUUGACUUGAAAUUUUAUACAGCAAAUAAUCAACUGUCAUUUUAGACUUUGGCUCUUCCUUUUUUGUUUAAAUAGUAUAUAAACUUUCUUAGCCUUAAAUUUGUCUUGUAAGUUAUGUUUUCUUCUUGUCACUAAUUAAAGACCGGACUUGUUUGUAGAUCUUGUCUAGCUGAUAAUUUUUAUACUUAAAUUUUCUUUCUGUCUACUAGUUUUGAAGAGGAUAGCAAACAGAAAACAACUGCGAAAUUUGCUAAGAAUUGUAAUAUUCAGAGGCAAUAACCACCAAAUGAGUUGUCCUUAGAAACUUUCAAUGUCAAUGUAUCUUGUCUCGCUAAUCAUUUUCACCUGGUUAUUUGACUGGUUAAGAUUUUGAGAUACAAGGCAAACCUAGCACGUGGUUUUCACCGGAAAACGUUUGGUUUGUUGUAUCCAGAAAUAAUGAAAUAGACGAAAACAUGUAUGAAAAAGCAAAGUCGAAGAAAAUUAAAAAUAUGCAGAAUGAUUACGUUUAUGUUUAAUACACCACUAUCUAACAUGUAGAUUAAAUUUGAACAUUCCGGCAUUUAUCAAUUUCAAAUCAGUCACUUUAUUGAUAACCUUCUUGAUAAAUCAGGCGGUCGGGAAUGAAUAUUGAAUAUUGAAAGGUAAUUUUUAAAGAUUCAAUGAUACUUCCGAUAUUAAUUCUUUAGUUACGUUUUCUAUUCUUUCAAAUAUACGUAUGAUCUAAAUUCGUGUAAUUUGUAAAAGUUUAUAAUUUUAUGGUAUGUUCUUGGCUGGGACUCAAUAUUUAUUUAUCUUCAUUUAUGUUAUGUACCUGUUAUAGGACAAAAUAUUAUCUGUAUUUAUAAUGUCUUAGAUUUGAUUAGUACUAUACCAAUUCUAGAAGCUAAAUAUAUAUAUUAUAUAUAUGUACAUGUUCAUGUCAAGAAACGAUACUGUAUUUGGUGUAUAUAACUCUGCUAUCAAUAAACAAGUAAAUUGGCUCACAGAUCCACCCCCCCCCCCCGAAAAAGAUUAAAAAAAAAGUUCAAAUGGCGUAGGUAUAACCAUUUAACAUAUUAGUUCAACCGAUUUUUUUCCUUUUUUUUCCUUUUUGUUAAAAGAAAAUAAGGAAAUUAAAAGUAUUUCAUGUAUAAAAUUGUACUGUGUCAUGCGAUUCCGUUUGGUGUGUAAUAAUUUGAUAAUUAUGUUUUGUCUAAACAAUUUACAAGAAAUAUAUCAACAUAAUCCAACUAACACUACACUUUAUAAUUUUAAUUAGAGGGAACCUCUGACAUGUGACUGUUCCCACUCGCCUUACAAUUACAGCCCCUCUGGCCAUGUUAUUACUGGGGAAUCUAAACAUAAUUCAACAUGAAAAUCUCCGAAAGGUGAUUUCUCGUGGUCCUAAGUUUAGAGAACCCCAACACAUCAAUUGGAACCAUAACUUCAAAAUAAUUAUGGAUUCCAUUGAGGACUACGCCAGAGCAUGGGCUAAACGAGAAGUAGUUCAACUGGACACUUUGUCAGAAUGGGUCAAAACAAUCAGGUCUCUGAUAAAACGUCGCAUUCCUAAGUUGAAAAACUGUGUGAAUGAUCGACCUUGGUCCAUUUUCAGUGGCAGAGAGGCUGUAAAAUGUCUAUCAUCUCUUCAAGAUAAGUAUGUUGUUGUUCCUGCGGACAAAGCUUCAAAUAAUAUUGUCUUUAUAUGUAAAUCGUAUUACUACGAGUGUCUAUAAAAGAAUUAGGAAUAAAUGAGCACUCAGGUAAUCCCACAUACAAAAACAUAUCAUUUGACAAGGAUGAGAUUUCGGCGAAUCAUAAGUCCUUCAUAGCUUCUAUGAACAUUGCAUUGAACAACAAAUCGGAGGACUUACCUUGUUUGUAUUGGAUACCUAAACUUCACAAAAUUCCGUAAAAAACAACGGUACAUUGCAUUGCGGCUCAUCUGCAUGUUCUACUAAAGAAUUGUCCAUUAGAUUGACUAAAAUUCUGUCCGCAGUUAAAGAGGGUCUUCAGAUAUACUGUGAAACUGUUUACUCGCGUAGUGGUAUUAACCAUAUGUGGAUUCUUAAAAACUCUAAAGAACUUCUGGAUAAUUUUAAAUCUCUGUCUUUUUCUGAAAUUAGUUCUAUCAAAACUAUUGAUUUUUCAACCUUGUAUACAACCAUUCCCCAUGUGAAAUUGAAAAACGUCUAAAAGAAAUAAUCCACAAUGCUUUUCAUCAUAAAAAUGGUAGCAUACGCUAUAAAUUUAUCACUUUGGGAUACCAUAAGGCAUAUUGUGUUAAUAAGGAACAAAAAGGGUAAAAUAUACUACACAGAGGAACAAGUGAUCAGUAUGCUGGAGUUUCUUAUUGACAACAUAUUUGUUGAAUUUGGAGGUAGACUUUUUCAACAAAUUGUCGGCAUUCCUAUGGAACGAACUGUGCGCCUCUCCUUGCCGACCUCUUCUUAUUUUCAUAUGAAUCGGAGUUCCUUCAGACACUUGUCAAAAAAAGAAGAUCAAAGAAGCCAGGUUAUUUAAUUUCACUUUCAGAUAUAUUGAUGAUGUUCUUUCCAUUGACAAUCCGAACUUUUCUGAUUGGGUUCCAUUAAUGUACCCACCAGAACUAGAAAUUAAAGAGACAACAGACACGGCUUCCUCCGCCUCAUUUUUAGACUUAUACCUCGAAUUUGACAUACACAGUCAUCUCAGUACCAGAAUCUAUGAAAAACGAGACAAUUUUAAUUUUAAAAUUAUCAAUUUUCCCCACCUUAGUUGUAUUAUACCAACUUCACCUGCAUAUGGAAUAUACAUUUCCCAACUUAUUCGGUAUUCAAGAGCUUGCAGCUCCUAUUCAGACUUUGUAAAAAACGUCACCAGUGUCUGAGCAGAAAGUUGAUGAACCAGGGGUAUGUCAAAGAACGUCUCGUCCUUUUUCUAAAAAAAAGUUAGUCGGAAGGUACCAAGAACUUGUUGAUAAAUAUUCCGUAUCAACUUCACAAAUAAUACAAGAUGGUCUUGAAGUAUAGAUUUUGCGUACUGACGUUAGAUAUCAUCUUAAUAACGUGUUAUAGUAUUCUUUUAUUUGUCUUUAUUAAUAUUACUUUUACUGUUAAGUCAGUUUUUUUAGAUAUUCAUUUGACGUGACUCUGUGCUUAUGUAAAACAUCAUACUUUGAACGACAAAAUUAUUUCAUUUAUCAAUAUUACUUUUACUUAUGGAUCUUGUCAUACUUUGAAUGACAAAACUAUUUUAUUCAUUAAUACUACUUUUUCUGUUAAGUCUGUUUUUUAUGAUAUACAUUUGACAUGACUCUGUACUUAUGUAACCCGUCAAACUUUGACCACAAAUUAUUUUUAUUUAUAUUUAUACUUUUACUGUUAAGUCUGUUUUUUGUUAUAUCUACUUUACGUGACUCUGCAUUUAUGUAUGCCGUCAUACUUUGAACGACAAAAUUAUUUUAUGUCUACCUGUGCGAAUUUCAAACGCGCAAUUUUACACCAGUAAUGAAAACCUUCCAUCCUUUAUUGGUAGACUUUACAUAGAUAAAUAAAAUCGUAUAAGAUAAGCAAAAUGUGGAUGUUAAAUUUGAUGCAUGCCUUUUUGUGCUUCUUCGUUACAUUUGUUGUUUUUAUAGUGAUUAAGAUGAUAACAUAAUGUUGACUGCUGUACCCCUAUUUUUGAGUAUGUUUGUUUUGUUCACACAUCGUUGACAAUGUAAUGGAAUUUGAUGCGACUGUCAUAUAAGUGAGAGGUUUAGCUAGCUACAAAACCAGGAUCAAUCCACCAUUUUCUACAUUAGAAAAUGCCUGUACCAAGUCAGGAAUAUGACAGUUGUUAUCCAUUCGUUUGAUGUGUUUGGACUUUUGAUUUUGCCUUUUGAUUUUGGACUUUUCUUUUUGAUUUUUCCUCGGAGUUCAGUAUUUUUGUGUUUUUACUUUUUAUAUGAUCAAUGGAAAUGACUGAGUUGUUUAGUCAACAGUCAUGAUUAAUUAGAAUUUAUCCUCUAACUCAAUAUGAUAAAUAGCUGCACGUUUCAAACGAACAAUUGAUGUUUGUAAAACCUAAAGAUAAUGUACUUUAUGUUUAAAGCAAAUCGAAACUGAAUUUCUUGAUUUGAUAUAAAUUUCAAUUACCCUAUUUUACAAUUUCGAUUAUUUGACUAUUGGAACGGUUUCCAUUUGGGAAUAUGUACUGUUGAUUGAUUGAUUAUUGGUGUUAAACGCCAUUUUCGCCACUCGGCUAACUUAUAGCGGUCAGUUUUUAUUUGUAAAGGAGACCGGAGUUCCCGGUUAUAACCAACGACCUCCGACAGGCAAAAUAAAUUAAGCCAUGCAGGUUGAUGUUGGUGGUUGAUAGGGUGCUGUUGUUUUAAACUUUUACAUAAAACUAUUGUUAUGACUGAUCUUUUUUAUAUUAAUUUUAAGCUUGUGUUUAAUGGCGACGUCAUUUCAAAACUGUGGUGUAUGUGAACUCCGUCACAUCACAAAUCCAUCCAUUGUCUGGUGUACAGAAUGUGACGAGGGACUAUGUACAGAAUGCCAGGAACAUCAUAGUUUAUCUAAGGCAUCUAGGAGGCACAGUGUGAUACCGAUUACCGGUUACCAGAAAUUACCAACUAAUCUUCUGAAAGUUACUCAGUACUGUAGCAAACACAAUGAAAAGUAUCAAAUUUAUUGCCAGAUGCAUGAAAGUCCCUGCUGCAGCAAGUGUAUUGUUGAGGACCAUAAAGAUUGCCAGGAUAUCGUCAAUUUAGAUGACGUCAUUCAUAAUGUCAAAACCUCCAAUGCCCUACUCGAGAUAGAGGACACAUUAGUUGAAGCAGCAGAAAAUAUACAGAAAAUUCGCCAGCACCAACAGGACAAUCUGUCGACUUUAUAUGAAAAGAGAAAGGAAAUUGAAAAUGAAAUAAAGAAUAUUAGAAUAAAGAUCAACAGUCAUCUCGAUAAACUACAAGAAGAUUUAUUGAAACAACUCUAUUCGAUCGAAGAAAAAGAAAACUUGAAAAUUUGUCAGUUAUUGUCAAAAUUAGAAAACAAAGAAAAAGAAAUAAAAGAAUACCAAAGAAAUAUUAUGAACAUCAAGCAACAAGCAACAGACCUUCAAGUGUUUCUUUCCAUGAAACAAAUAAAGGAAGGCGUCUAUAGCAAAGGUAUAUUUCUGCACUCGAUUAUAGAAGGCGAGGAGGGACAUUGUUUUUCAUAUGAGAUCAACCCCUCUAUCCAGAAUAUCAUGUCCGAUAUCGAAAGUUUCGGAGAGGUGAAUAUUGAAGCUAAACCUUGCGAUAUAGUUCUGACCAAAAAAAAGGCCAAACAAGCCCAAGUGAUGGUACCACAAUUAACCGUUCAAUCAAGAUCCAUUAGAAAUAUAAAGCUAACGAUACACAAGAUCAUUAACACUAAAGAAAAUGUCUUCAGCUGUUGCAUACUACCUGAUGAUAGAACGGUGUUUACUUUCUUCAUUGAAUCGACAGUAAAGGUAUUCAACAAUAAAGGAUUAAAAGGCUUUAAGGUGAAGAUGCCGUGUGAACCUUUUGAUAUAGUGUACAUCAGUCAGGAUAAUACAUUGGCUGUUACAUCUGGAGGUUCAGCGAAAAAUUGUAUUACCAUUAUAGACUUGGCGAGAAAAAAAAUCAGGAAGAUAAUUACACUGGAUUCGCUUAAUUAUGGAAUAGCACUGAAAGAUAAUCGAUUGAUUUAUUCCGGUUACGACAAAGGUAUAUGCAUGAUCAAUAUGUACGACGAGUCAACGCGUGACAUACAUGACAUAGUUAAAGAUGCAAUGCCAAGUGAAAGUUACAUUGCAACAUUAAGGGACAAUAUAUAUUAUACUAACAACGUCACAAACGUUGUAACGUGUUGUAAUCUAAAAGGUGAAAUACAAUGGACAUUCCAAAAUGAAAGCGUUCUGAAGAGUCCUCGGGGUAUAGAUGUAGAUAGUGAUGGUAAUGUGUACGUGGUAGGGAUAUUGUCAAACAAUGUUGUAGUUAUCUCCCCUGACGGACAACUACAUAGUGAAAUAUUGACAGCAGCAGAUGGUCUAAAUAGACCUUCCUCGCUUCAUUAUAGUGAACCAAGGAACCAGUUGCUAGUUGCAGGCUACAAUGACAAGGCUCAUUUGUUUGAUUUUAUUUGAGGUCUUUCUUUGCAAUAUUUUGAAUUAAUGGGUUUCCGAAACAUGUUUCGUUUAUUUUGUCAGCUAUAAAAUAUUAAGUGAUUGU